CGCGCAGUGGCAGCGCCCGGGCCUCCCGCACGGAAGCGCGCGGAGACCCGAGCCCUCAGUGCGGCGGCGAAUGUUUCUUUGUAAUUCCAGAUACCCCCACCGCAAACACCUACCUGAAAAAGUUGUUCCGUGUCCCAACAAGGUCACCAUUGUUCAUCCUUAGACAAAGAUGGAAUUUUUCAGAAAAUAUAACAAAGAGCCAUGGAGAAUAAAUGGACUGGAAAGCCCCUUGUAAGUCUAAUCAAAGAAACUUUUCUCUCCCUUUGGGAUAGAGGAUCCUUAAAAUAUCUGCCCCCUGGAAUUUCAUACCUGCUAGAGACAACAGUGCUAUGUCUCCCAUACUCCUCUUUUCUAAAUAGGAAUAGUUAGUGAAGUUACCCUGAACAUGUUUCACCAGUGUGUACUAGAUGUUCGGCAAGCAAAUGACUUGCCUUUUUGGUUCAUAGGUCUUUUGGUUCAAGAUGAGCCACACCCAGACAUGAAGAACAUUUUUCCCUGAUGUAGAGACUAUACUGUGUCAUCCAUAGACCCUGCUCAUUGUGCUUGUUGUCUUCACUAAAUGAAACUUGUGAGUUUUAUCCUUCAGGGACAGGUGAGUAUAUAUUGCCUAUGGAAGGAGAAUGAAUUGAAUAUUCGGAGCCUUGAAGGACUGACUAUUGUAAUCAGUGACAUUCACGAAAUAUCUCUGGUUUGGUGCACUGCCUCAUAGGUUUGCCCAUUUGCAGUUAGUCACAACUGUGAGUCAUGCUUUGACCAAUGAACCAUGAACAGAAGUGUUUCUCCCACAACUUUAAGAGCAAGCAUGUGAUUUCCUAGAAUUUUCUCUCGGUGUCCCAGUGACAGGAAACUUUCCAGAUAGUGGAGGGUACAAUAUCCUGGGUUGCAGAGAGAGACAGAAGUAAAGACAGCCCCAGAAAUCUUGUGAUAGACAUGUAUUAAGAGCAAGAAAUAGGAGAAGCCAAGAUGGCGGAACAGCAUGGAAGUUUUUUGUGUGUCUCAUGGCCAUGAAAUACAGCCAGACCAACACUAACCCGUCCUACACACCUAGAAAACUGAUUGGAAGAUUA